GAUGAACGCUAGCGGCAGGCUUAACACAUGCAAGUCGAGGGGUAACAGGUAGCUUGCUAUGCUGACGACCGGCGAACGGGUGCGUAACGCGUAUAGAAUCUGCCUUGUACAGGAGGAUAGCCUUUAGAAAUGAAGAUUAACACUCCAUAAUGUAGGGUUUCGGCAUCGAGACUUUAUUAAACAUUUAUGGGUACAAGAUGACUAUGCGUCCUAUUAGCUAGAUGGUAAGGUAACGGCUUACCAUGGCGACGAUAGGUAGGGGGUCUGAGAGGAUUAUCCCCCACACUGGUACUGAGACACGGACCAG
rnacentral:rRNA from 1 species